rnacentral:sRNA from 1 species
UUUUCUCAAUACAAUUGAUUUUUUUUUUCUUCUUCUUCUCU